rnacentral:misc_RNA from 1 species
GAUGUAUUUAUAGAACCAAAGACAGCUGUAGUUCAAAUUUCAUUUACUAAUAUAAUAGCAUACAAGACCAGCAUAAUAAAUACAAUUUACUAUCUUUGUCUAGGUAAUCUUUUCCUUAUUGCUUAGAAUUAUUCUGUUCAAUAAUAUAAUUUAGAGAUAACUCAUAUAUCUCUAAAACAAAAGUAAAGAGCAAACAAAGUUCUAGUAAAGAAGAAACAAAUUUAGAGGCAAUAAAUACA